UGCUUGGGAAACUGAUAGUCUAGAGUGAGGGAGAGGCAGAUGGAAUUGGUGGUGUAGGGGUAAAAUCCGUAGAUAUCACCAAGAAUACCCCAUUGCGAAGGCGAUCUGCUGGAACUCAACUGACGCUAAGGCGCGAAAGCGUGGGGAGCAAACAGGAUUAGAUACCCUGGUAGUCCACGCCCUAAACGAUGUACACUAGUUGUUGGGGUGCUAGUCAUCUCAGUAAUGCAGCUAACGCAUUAAGUGUACCGCCUGGGGAGUACGGUCGCAAGAUUAAAACUCAAAGGAAUAGACGGGGACCCGCACAAGCGGUGGAGCAUGUGGUUUAAUUCGAAGAUACGCGAAGAACCUUACCUGGGCUUGAUAUCCUAAGAACCUUUUAGAGAUAAGAGGGUGCUAGCUUGCUAGAACUUAGAGACAGGUGCUGCACGGCUGUCGUCAGCUCGUGUCGUGAGAUGUUGGGUUAAGUCCCGCAACGAGCGCAACCCACGUAUUUAGUUGCUAACGGUUCGGCCGAGCACUCUAAAUAGACUGCCUUCGUAAGGAGGAGGAAGGUGUGGACGACGUCAAGUCAUCAUGGCCCUUAUGCCCAGGGCGACACACGUGCUACAAUGGCAUAUACAAUGAGACGCAAUACCGCGAGGUGGAGCAAAUCUAUAAAAUAUGUCCCAGUUCGGAUUGUUCUCUGCAACUCGAGAGCAUGAAGCCGGAAUCGCUAGUAAUCGUAGAUCAGCCAUGCUACGGUGAAUACGUUCCCGGGUCUUGUACUCACCGCCCGUCACACCAUGGGAGUUGAUUUCACUCGAAGCCGG
rnacentral:rRNA from 1 species